rnacentral:rRNA from 1 species
CCUACGGGUGGCAGCAGUGAGGAAUAUUGGUCAAUGGGCGCGAGCCUGAACCAGCCAAGUAGCGUGAAGGAUGACUGCCCUACGGGUUGUAAACUUCUUUUAUAAAGGAAUAAAGUGAGUCACGUGUGCCUUUUUGUAUGUACUUUAUGUAUAAGGAACGGCUAACUCCGUGCCAUCAGCCGCGGUAAUACGGAGGAUCCGAGCGUUAUCCGGAUUUAUUGGGUUUAAAGGGAGCGUAGAUGGGUUGUUAAGUCAGUUGUGAAAGUUUGCGGCUCAACCGUAAAAUUGCAAUUGAUACUGGCAGUCUUGAGUACAGUUGAGGUAGGCGGAAUUCGUGGUGUAGCGGUGAAAUGCUUAGAUAUCACGAAGAACUCCGAUUGCGAAGGCAGCUUACUAAACUGCCACUGACAUUGAUGCUCGAAAGUGUGGGUAUCAAACAGGAUUAGAUACCCCUGUAGUC